rnacentral:rRNA from 1 species
GACGAACGCUGGCGGCGUGCCUAAUACAUGCAAGUCGAACGCAGUGGGGACGGGUGAGUAACACGUGGGUAACCUCCCAUCCGAGGGGAUAACACUUGGAAACAGGUGCUAAACCGAUACUGAUGGAUGGACCCGCGGUGCAUGAGCUAGUUGGUGAGGUAACGGCUCACCUAGGCGACGAUCUCUAGCUGGUCGGAGAGGAUGAGCAGCAACACGGGGACGGAGACACGCCCCCGACUCCUACGGGAGGCAGCAGUGGGGAAUAUUGGACAAUGGGCGCAAGCCUGAUGCAGCCAUGCCGCGUGUAUGAAGAAGGCCUGAGGGGUGUAAAGUACGUUCAGCGGGGAGGCGUUACCCGCAGAAGAAGCACCGGCUAACUCCGUGCCAGCAGCCGCGGUAAUUC